rnacentral:tRNA from 1 species
GCGGUCAUGGCGGAACGGCAGACGCUACGGGUUGAGAGCCCGUUGUCCAGUAGGACGUGAGAGUUCAAAUCUCUCUGACCGCACCA